rnacentral:rRNA from 1 species
CCUACGGGUGGCUGCAGUGGGGAAUAUUGGACAAUGGGCGAAAGCCUGAUCCAGCCAUGCCGCGUGUGUGAAGAAGGCCUUCGGGUUGUAAAGCACUUUCAGCGGGGAAGAAAGCCUUGGGGCUAAUACCCUCGAGGAAGGACAUCACCCACAGAAGAAGCACCGGCUAACUCCGUGCCAGCAGCCGCGGUAAUACGGAGGGUGCGAGCGUUAAUCGGAAUUACUGGGCGUAAAGCGCGCGUAGGCGGUCUGAUAAGCCGGUUGUGAAAGCCCCGGGCUCAACCUGGGAACGGCAUCCGGAACUGUCAGGCUAGAGUGCAGGAGAGGAAGGUAGAAUUCCCGGUGUAGCGGUGAAAUGCGUAGAGAUCGGGAGGAAUACCAGUGGCGAGGGCGGCCUUCUGGACUGACACUGACGCUGAGGUGCGAAAGCGUGGGUAGCAAACAGGAUUAGAUACCCGUGUAGUC